GCCAGCAGCCAUAUCACCCUGCAUCUCACAGCUGGCAGCCCACUGAAGCUCAGCAGGUGUGAGCCUGGUCAGUACCUGGAUGGGAGACCUCCUGGGAAAAACUAAGGUUGCUGCUAGGU
rnacentral:rRNA from 1 species